AGAAGCCUGGCUUUCCAUUAGAGAGUGGGAAGAGAAAUGUGCGGUUUGCAUCAGAUGGCCAUGGUGAGCCUUUUAGGGAAUGGGACCUUUGAACAAAACUUGAAAGAAAUGGUGAGCUACACUCUGACACCAUUCGGGGAAUGCUCCCAAGGGAGGACUAGCCAGUGCCGGAGCCGUAAGGUGGGAGCAGGAAAACAGGAGGCCGUGGCUGGAGCAGAGGGACUGAGUUUGGGGCUGAAGGGAAGAUGGAGAGAUUGCGGCUCUUCCUCUGCACACAUCUGCUCAAAGGAGCUGCUCUAUUGUGAGGCAGUUUUGCACUCGGUCCGCAGGGAUCUUGGUGGGAGCAGACAGCCCAGGCCCUUCAGGUCUUUGCCUGAUCAAAUCUGAACCCUCCUACCAAGUAUGCAAAGCUCGUGAGGCUUGCGGUCAUCUCGGUGGCCUGUUUCCACUCAAGUCAUCCCUGUGAGGGCUACUGGCGUGUGGAAGAAAUGUCUUUGGCCUGUUGGAAAUUCUUUUCUCAGUCACCUCUUCUCCCUGAAAUCUACAACAGGAUGACUAUCUUUAAGGAAAUAACAAAAGUUGCUCCGGGAUUUCCAAAUGUUUAACUUUGGGGCCAGUUCGUGUGGGUCCCAGGACAACAUGCUAUUUUUGAA
rnacentral:lncRNA from 1 species